UGGGGGAGAUUGCACAAUGGGCGAAAGCCUGAUGCAGCGACGCCGCGUGGGGGAUGAAGGCUUUCGGGUUGUAAACCUCUUUCGCUAUCGAACAAGGCCCGCUUAGGGUGGGUUGAGGGUAGGUGGAGAAGAAGCGCCGGCUAACUACGUGCCAGCAGCCGCGGUAAUACGUAGGGCGCGAGCGUUGUCCGGAAUUAGUGGGCGUAAAGGGCUUGUAGGCGGCUUGUUGCGCCUGCUGUGAAAACGCGGGGCUUAACUUCGCGCGUGCAGUGGGUACGGGCAGGCUUGAGUGUGGUAGGGGUGACUGGAAUUCCAGGUGUAGCGGUGGAAUGCGCAGAUAUCUGGAGGAACACCGAUGGCGAAGGCAGGUCACUGGGCCAUUACUGACGCUGAGGAGCGAAAGCAUGGGUAGCGAACAGG
rnacentral:rRNA from 1 species